rnacentral:rRNA from 1 species
GCUGGCGGCAGGCCUAACACAUGCAAGUCGAGCGGCAGCGGGUCCUUCGGGAUGCCGACGAGCGGCGGACGGGUGAGUAAUGCCUAGGAAUCUGCCUGGUAGUGGGGGAUAACUCGGGGAAACUCGAGCUAACACCGCAUACGUCCUACGGGAGAAAGCGGGGGAUCUUCGGACCUCGCGCUACCAGAUGAGCCUAGGUCGGAUUAGCUAGUUGGUGAGGUAAAGGCUCACCAAGGCGACGAUCCGUAGCUGGUCUGAGAGGAUGAUCAGCCACACUGGAACUGAGACACGGUCCAGACUCCUACGGGAGGCAGCAGUGGGGAAUAUUGGACAAUGGGCGAAAGCCUGAUCCAGCCAUGCCGCGUGUGUGAAGAAGGUCUUCGGAUUGUAAAGCACUUUAAGUUGGGAGGAAGGGCAGUAAGUUAAUACCUUGCUGUUUUGACGUUACCGACAGAAUAAGCACCGGCUAACUUCGUGCCAGCAGCCGCGGUAAUACGAAGGGUGCAAGCGUUAAUCGGAAUUACUGGGCGUAAAGCGCGCGUAGGUGGUUUGAUAAGUUGGAUGUGAAAGCCCCGGGCUCAACCUGGGAAUUGCAUCCAAAACUGUCUGACUAGAGUAUGGCAGAGGGUGGUGGAAUUUCCUGUGUAGCGGUGAAAUGCGUAGAUAUAGGAAGGGAACACCAGUGGCGAAGGCGACCGCCUGGGCUAAUACUGACACUGAGGUGC